CCUACGGGAGGCAGCAGUGGGGAAUUUUGCGCAAUGCUCGUAAGAGUGACGCAGCGACGCCGCGUGAAUGACGAAGGCCUUCGGGUCGUAAAGUUCUUUCGACAGGGACGAAAAUGCCUAUAAGUAACUGUGUAUGUAUUGACGGUACCUGUAUAAGCAGCACCGGCUAACUCCGUGACCGAAGCCGCGGUAAUACGGAGGGGGCGGGCGUUGUUCGGAGUGACUGGGCGUAAAGAGCACGUAGACGGUGUUGUAAGUCAUUAGGCAAAGACUAGAGCUCAACUUUAGUAAGGCUAGUGAUACUAUAAUACUAGAGGAUCAGAUAGGAGUGCAG
rnacentral:rRNA from 1 species